CAGCAGCCGCGGGAAUACGUAGGUGGCAAGCGUUGUCCGGAAUUAUUGGGCGUAAAGGGCUCGCAGGCGGUUUCUUGAGUCUGAUGUGAAAGCCCCCGGCUCAACCGGGGAGGGUCAUUGGAAACUGGGAAACUUGAGUGCAGAAGAGGAGAGUGGAAUUCCACGUGUAGCGGUGAGAUGCGUAGAGAUGUGGAGGAACACCAGUGGCGAAGGCGACUCUCUGGUCUGUAACUGACGCUGAGGAGCGAAAGCGUGGGGAGCGAGCAGGAUUAGAUACCCCUGUAGUCCCUGUCUCUUAUAC
rnacentral:rRNA from 1 species